AUUGAACGCUGGCGGCAGGCUUAACACAUGCAAGUCGAGCGGGGUGAUGGUGCUUGCACUAUCACUUAGCGGCGGACGGGUGAGUAAUGCUUAGGAAUCUGCCUAUUAGUGGGGGACAACAUCUCGAAAGGGAUGCUAAUACCGCAUACGUCCUACGGGAGAAAGCAGGGGAUCACUUGUGACCUUGCGCUAAUAGAUGAGCUUAAGUCGGAUUAGCUAGUUGGUGGGGUAAAGGCCUACCAAGGCGACGAUCUGUAGCGGGUCUGAGAGGAGGAGCCGCCACACUGGGACUGGGACACGGCCCAGACUCCUACGGGAGGCAGCAGUGGGGAAUAUUGGACAAUGGGGGGAACCCUGAUCCAGCCAUGCCGCGUGUGUGAAGAAGGCCUUAUGGUUGUAAAGCACUUUAAGCGAGGAGGAGGCUCUUUUGGUUAAUACCCAAGAUGAGUGGACGUUACUCGCAGAAUAAGCACCGGCUAACUCUGUGCCAGCAGCCGCCGUAA
rnacentral:rRNA from 1 species